rnacentral:tRNA from 3 species
GCCUCGUUAGCUCAGCGGUAGAGCAGCUCACUCGUAAUGAGCAGGUCGAGAGUUCAAAUCUCUUGCGAGGCU